rnacentral:rRNA from 1 species
UACGUAGGGUGCAAGCGUUGUCCGGAAUUAUUGGGCGUAAAGAGCUCGUAGGCGGUCUGUCACGUCGGCUGUGAAAACCUGGGGCUCAACCCCGGGCCUGCAGCCGAUACGGGCAGACUAGAAUUCGGCAGGGGAGACUGGAAUUCCUGGUGUAGCGGUGAAAUGCGCAGAUAUCAGGAGGAACACCGGUGGCGAAGGCGGGUCUCUGGGCCGAUAUUGACGCUGAGGAGCGAAAACGUGGGGAGCAAACAGG